rnacentral:rRNA from 1 species
AUUGAACGCUGGCGGCAGGCAUAACACAUUCAAGUCGAGCGGAGCGGCGGACGGGUGAGUAAUGCCUAGGAAUCUGCCUGGUAGUGGGGGAUAACGUCCGGAAACGGGCGCUAAUACCGCAUACUAUCAGAUGAGCCUAGGUCGGAUGAGCUAGUUGGUGGGGUAAAGUCCUACCAAGGCGAUGACCCGUAACGGGGCUGAGAGGAGGAUCAGUCACACCGGAACUGAGACACGGUCCAGACUCCUACGGGAGGCAGCAGUGGGGAACAUUGGACAAUGGGCGAAAGCCUGAGCCAUCCAUGCCGCGUGUGUGAAGAAGGUCUUCUGAUUGUAAAGCACUUUAAGUUGGGAGGCGGUACCAACAGAAUAAGCACCGGCUAACUUCGUGCCAGCAGCCGCGGUAAUUC